rnacentral:rRNA from 1 species
UACGAAGGGGGCUAGCGUUGCUCGGAAUCACUGGGCGUAAAGCGCUCGUAGGCGGUUUGCUAAGUCAGGGGUGAAAUCCUGGAGCUCAACUCCAGAACUGCCUUUGAUACUGGCGAUCUCGAGUUCGGGAGAGGUGAGUGGAACUGCGAGUGUAGAGGUGAAAUUCGUAGAUAUUCGCAAGAACACCAGUGGCGAAGGCGGCUCACUGGCCCGAUACUGACGCUGAGGUGCGAAAGCGUGGGGAGCAAACAGG